CUCCUUCGGGAGGUGGACAGCGGCGGAAGGGAGAGUAAUGCGUGGUUACGUGCCCUGAGGACCGGGAUAGUGUGGGGAAACUUGCAGUAAUACCGGAUAAUAUCUCAGGAUCAAAUGGUGUGAUUCCGCCUUGGGAUCGGACCACGUGCUAUUAGCUUGUUGGCGGGGUAAUGGCCCACCAAGGCUACGAUGGCUACCGGGUGUGAGAGCAUGGCCCGGCUCACUGGGACUGAGACACUGCCCAGACACCUACGGGUGGCUGCAGUCGAGAAUCUUCGGCAAUGGACGAAAGUCUGACCGAGCGACGCCGCGUGCGGGAUGAAGGCCUUCGGGUUGUAAACCGCUGUCAGUUGGGAGGAAAUGUUAUGGGGUACUCCCCAUAGCUUGACCGAUCUUCAGAGGAAGGACGGGCUAAGUUCGUGCCAGCAGCCGCGGUAAGACGAACCGUCCAAACGUUAUUCGGUAUCACUGGGCUUAAAGCGUGCGUAGGCGGCCUGGUAGGUGAGAUGUGAAAGCCCACGGCUCAACCGUGGAAUUGCGUUUCAAACCACCAGGCUUGAGGAUGGCAGGGGUGAUGGGAACUGAUGGUGGAGCGGUGAAAUGCGUUGAUAUCAUCAGGAACACCGGUGGCGAAGGCGCAUCACUGGGCCAUUUCUGACGCUGAGGCACGAAAGCUAGGGUAGCGAACGGG
rnacentral:rRNA from 1 species